rnacentral:lncRNA from 13 species
CUCCAGCCUGGGUAACAAGAGCGAAACUCCGUCUCAAAAAAAAAAAAAAAAAGAUAAAAUACAGAAAUUGGUAGCACUUGUAUACACUAAAUAUAGAAAAUGAUUCCAUAGAAAAUAGCCACAGGAAAAUGAGAUGCUUGGAAAUAAAUUUAACCAGGAGCUGAAAGACUUCUGCUUUGAAAAGUAUAAAACAUUGAUGAAAGAAAUUAAGAGGAUGCAAAUAAAUGGAAAGCGGUCCUGUGUUCUUGCAUUAGAAAAACUAACAUGUGCAGAGUACAUUCUUGUGAGGGCAGCGACCUCCGCAGCGAAUCGCGGGACUUUCCUAAUCGCGGCAGCCUGAGUCCCAGAAGUUAAUUUGUAACAAAGGUAACUGUGUCCGAGUCCAUUAAGUGGGCCUCUCGGGGAGCCAUUCGCAGGCGCGGGAGAGAUGAAAGCCCUGUGCGCGCUAGAAAACGGUUUCGCAACUCCCCUCGGGAAGCAGAUGCGCUGUCCACCGAAAAUAACCGACGAACCUUGCCUGGCGUCGCUGGGGCUUUGGAGUGCUCAUUCUCACAGGAAAAACAUCCAGGGAAAUCGUCUUUUCCAUAAAAACAGAGUCGGAAGCCUUCUCCAGGCAGCUUCUUCGGCGCCCCCAGGAGACCGCCAGACACGGGCGCCCCCGUGGCGGUCCCGCCUGCUGUGGACUGCAGGCUCCUCUUAAGGAGGAGAACCGUGUUGUCGGCUCGCAACUCCUUGGUGUUGCGACACCCCAGCUCUGUGAGGAUCCCUCCUCCCAGCAGCACGUUCACCCUCCGACCACAGGAGGAGGCGGUCGGGGCUAGGAAGCCGAUCCCGAUCCCAGCCAGGCUCCCGAAUCAGACCAAGGUGAGGACCCAAGGAAAGCCCAGAGGAGCGAUAGAGGAGGAGGAGCAGGUAGUGACCCAGGGGCAGGAGGACAAGAAAAGCCCCCUCCUCUCCGCAGGAUACCCACAUCCAGGGCCCUGGAGGUCCGGGGAGACCUUAGUUCCGUCAGGGACAGUCCUGGGCCCCUAGAGGGAAAUGUUUACCCCAAUAGCCUGUGAGAAAAUAACUUGACUGACAAGGCCCAGGUGUCUCCAGUGAGCUCCUGCUGGAAGGGCCAUGUUGUCCCCAGCUCAGCCCUGCUGGAGAGGUCCUUCCCCUUAAGAAGCCUGACCCAGGGCCAGGCGCGGUGGCUCACGCCUGUAAUCCCAGCACCUUGGGAGGCCGAGGCGGGUGGAUCACGAGCUCAAGAGAGCUAAUUUUUUGUGUUUUUAGUAAAGACGGGGUUUCACCAUGUUGACCAGGAUAGUCUCGAUUUCCUGACCUCGUGAUCCACCUGCCUCGGCUUCCCAAAGUGCUGGGAUUACAGGCAUGAGCCACCGCGCCCGGCCCAAGAAUGACAUUUUUUAAAAGAUCAACAAAAUUACAAACCCUUAACUGGACUACCUAAGAAAAAGAGAAAAUAGAGGUCGGGCGCGGUGGCCCACGCCUGUAAUCCCAGCACUUUCGGUGGUCGAGGCGGGUGGAUCACGAGGUCAAGAGAUGGAGAUUAUCCUGGUCCACAUGGUGAAAUCCCGUCUCUACUAAAAAUACAAAAAAUUAGCUGGGCAUGGUGGUGCGUGCCUGUAAUCCCAGCUACUCAGGAGGCUGAGGCAGGAGAAUUGCCUGAACCCAGGAGGCGGAGGUUGCAGUGAGCCGAG